AGUGAACGCUGGCGGUAUGCCUAACACAUGCAAGUCGAACGGCAGCACAGUAAGAUCUUGCUCUUACGGGUGGCGAGUGGCGGACGGGUGAGGAAUACAUCGUAAUCUACUUUUUCGUGGGGGAUAACGUAGGGAAACUUACUCUAAUACCGCAUACGACCUACGGGUGAAAGCAGUGGAUCUUCUGACCUUGCGCGAUUGAAUGAGCCGAUGUCGGAUUAGCUAGUUGGCGGGGUAAAGGCCCACCAAGGCGACGAUCCGUAGCUGGUCUGAGAGGAUGAUCGGCCACACUGGAACUGAACCACGGUCCAGACUCCUACGGGAGGCAGCAGUGGGGAAUAUUGGGCAAUGGGCGCAAGCCUGAUCCAGCCAUACCGCGUGGGUGAAGAAGGCCUUCGGGUUGUAAAGCCCUUUUGUUGGGAAAGAAAAGCAGCAGGUUAAUACGCAGCUGUUCUGACGGUACCCAAAGAAUAAGCACCGGCUAACUUCGUG
rnacentral:rRNA from 1 species